UACGAAGGGUGCUAGCGUUGUCCGGAAUCAUUGGGCGUAAAGAGCGUGUAGGCGGCCACUUAAGUCCUGCGUGAAAUCUUGCGGCUCAACCGCAAGCGGUCGUGGGAAACUGGGUGGCUAGAGUGCGGGAGAGGAGAGUGGAAUUCCUGGUGUAGCGGUGGAAUGCGCAGAUAUCAGGAAGAACACCCGUGGCGAAGGCGGCUCUCUGGAACGCAACUGACGCUGAGACGCGAAAGCGUGGGGAGCAAACAGG
rnacentral:rRNA from 1 species